UACGAAGGGGGCUAGCGUUGCUCGGAAUUACUGGGCGUAAAGCGCACGUAGGCGGUCUUUUUAAGUCGGGGGUGAAAUCCUGGAGCUCAACUCCAGAACUGCCUUCGAUACUGGAAGACUUGAGUCCGGGAGAGGUGAGUGGAACUGCGAGUGUAGAGGUGAAAUUCGUAGAUAUCGCAAGAACACCAGUGGCGAAGGCGGCUCACUGGCCCG
rnacentral:rRNA from 1 species